rnacentral:rRNA from 1 species
UGGGCUAGAAGAGCAUGACAUAUACUGUUGUGUCGAUAUUUUCUCCUCGGACCUUGAAAAUUUAUGGUGGGGACACGCAAACUUCUCAACAGGCCGUACCAAUAUCCGCAGCUGGUCUCCAAGGUGAAGAGUCUCUAGUCGAUAGAAUAAUGUAGGUAAGGGAAGUCGGCAAAUUAGAUCCGUAACUUCGGGAUAAGGAUUGGCUCUGAAGAUUGAGAUAGUCGGGCUUGAUUGGGAAACAAUAACAUGGUUUAUGUGCUCGUUCUGGGUAAAUAGAGUUUCUAGCAUUUAUGUUAGUUACUUGUUCCCCGGAUAGUUUAGUUACGUAGCCAAUUGUGGAACUUUCUUGCUAAAAUUUUUAAGAAUACUAUUUGGGUUAAACCAAUUAGUUCUUAUUAAUUAUAACGAUUAUCAAUUAACAAUCAAUUCAGAACUGGCACGGACUUGGGGAAUCCGACUGUCUAAUUAAAACAAAGCAUUGUGAUGGCCCUAGCGGGUGUUGACACAAUGUGAUUUCUGCCCAGUGCUCUGAAUGUCAAAGUGAAGAAAUUCAAGUAAGCGCGGGUCAACGGCGGGAGUAACUAUGACUCUCUUAAGGUAGCCAAAUGCCUCGUCAUCUAAUUAGUGACGCGCAUGAAUGGAUUAACGAGAUUCCUACUGUCCCUAUCUACUAUCUAGCGAAACCACAGCCAAGGGAACGGGCUUGGAAUAAUUAGCGGGGAAAGAAGACCCUUUUGAGCUUGACUCUAAUCUGGCAGUGUAAGGAGACAUAAGAGGUGUAGAAUAAGUGGGAGAUAUUAGACCUCGGUUUGGUAUCGUCAAUGAAAUACCACUACUCUUAUUGUUUCCUUACUUACUUGAUUAAAUGGAACGUGUAUCAUUUCCUAGCCAUUAUACGGAUAUAUUUAUUAUAUCUUAUGGUAUUGGGUUUUGAUGCAAGCUUCUUGAUCAAAGUAUCACGAGUUUGUUAUAUAAUCGCAAACAAAUUCUUUAAUAAAACGAUGCAUUUAUGUAUUUUUGAUUUGAAAAUUUGGUAUAACUCCAAUUACUCAGGUAUGAUCCAAUUCAAGGACAUUGCCAGGUAGGGAGUUUGACUGGGGCGGUACAUCUCUCAAAUAAUAACGGAGGUGUCCCAAGGCCAGCUCAGUGCGGACAGAAACCACACAUAGAGCAAAAGGGCAAAUGCUGACUUGAUCUCGGUGUUCAGUACACACAGGGACAGCAAAAGCUCGGCCUAUCGAUCCUUUUGGUUUAAAGAGUUUUUAACAAGAGGUGUCAGAAAAGUUACCAUAGGGAUAACUGGCUUGUGGCGGCCAAGCGUUCAUAGCGACGUCGCUUUUUGAUCCUUCGAUGUCGGCUCUUCCUAUCAUUGUGAAGCAAAAUUCACCAAGCGUUGGAUUGUUCACCCAUGCAAGGGAACGUGAGCUGGGUUUAGACCGUCGUGAGACAGGUUAGUUUUACCCUACUAAUGACAAAACGUUGUUGCGACAGCAUUCCUGCGUAGUACGAGAGGAACCGCAGGUACGGACCAAUGGCACAAUACUUGUUCGAGCGAACAGUGGUAUGACGCUACGUCCGUUGGAUUAUGCCUGAACGCCUCUAAGGUCGUAUCCGUGCUGGACUGCAAUGAUAAAUAAGGGGCAAUUUGCAUUGU